UGGUGGCGAGUGGCGAACGGGUGAGUAAUGCAUCGGAACGUGCCCAUCGAUGGGGGAUAACUGCGCGAAAGCGUUGCUAAUACCGCAUACGACCUACGGGUGAAAGCAGGGGACCGCAAGGCCUUGCGUCGAUGGAGCGGCCGAUGCCGGAUUAGCUAGUUGGUGAGGUAAAGGCUCACCAAGGCGACGAUCCCGUAGCUGGUCUGAGAGGACGACCAGCCACACUGGGACUGAGACACGGCCCAGACUCCUACGGGAGGCAGCAGUGGGGAAUCUUGGACAAUGGGCGAAAGCCUGAUCCAGCAAUGCCGCGUGUGGGAAGAAGGCCCUCGGGUUGUAAACCACUUUUGGCGGGAAAGAAAUGGUCUGUGCUAAUACCACGGAUUGAUGACGGUACCCGCAGAAUAAGCACCGGCUAACUACGUG
rnacentral:rRNA from 1 species